rnacentral:pre_miRNA from 1 species
AAAAUCUUUGUGAUUAAAUAUGGCGCUUAUGUGUAGAACCGGUUGUACUAUAUUUUUAAACUGGUUUUUCAUGUAAGAGCCCAAAUAGUAUCACAAAAAUCAUC